UUAGAAGUAAUUGUUUUGGAUAGUGAGCACCAAAUCCUGUGGGAAUGAAGUACCCGAAUUUGGGGGUGUCACAAUAGUCUAAAGAUUCUCGCUCCUAAAGUUUAUAACCUAAUGAUACCAACAUGUGACACCCCAAAAUUCAAACAUCCAUAUCUCGAAUUUGGUACAUCACGUACUAAUCCAAAUAAUAAAUCAAAAUCUCACACAACGAAAAAUAG
rnacentral:lncRNA from 1 species